rnacentral:rRNA from 1 species
GACGAACGCUGGCGGCGUGCCUAAUACAUGCAAGUCGAGCGCAGGAAACCGUCUGAACCCUUCGGGGGGACGACGAUGGAAUGAGCGGCGGACGGGUGAGUAACACGUAAAGAACCUGCCCACGGGUCUGGGAUAACCACGAGAAAUCGGGGCUAAUACCGGACGGGUCAUCGGACCGCAUGGUCCGAGGAUGAAAGGCGCUCCGGCGUCGCCCGUGGAUGGCUUUGCGGUGCAUUAGCUAGUUGGUGGGGUAACGGCCCACCAAGGCGACGAUGCAUAGCCGACCUGAGAGGGUGAUCGGCCACACUGGGACUGAGACACGGCCCAGACUCCUACGGGAGGCAGCAGUAGGGAAUCUUCCACAAUGGACGAAAGUCUGAUGGAGCAACACCGCGUGAACGAUGAAGGCCCUCGGGUCGUAAAGUUCUGUUGUAAGGGAAGAACAAGUGCCGCAGGCAAUGGCGGCACCUUGACGGUACCCUGCGGGAAAGCCACGGCUAACUACGUGCCAGCCGCCGCGGUAA